rnacentral:lncRNA from 1 species
CGUUUAACAGGGCUUUGAGCACCGCCGCUGCUUCGGUGAGACUUGCACCCCCCUCACCCCACCCCAUAACAAAUCGCAGCAAACAGGACCUAUUUGCAAGGAAUUCAUCACCAUGGCGCUGGGAGGGUCUGGGGGCGGAGGGGAGCGCUAAGGUCUUUUGUUAUCCUUGUCACCUCGUCCAACCCAGGCCUGAGGACAGCCCCGCGGCGGGAGGCGGAGGACAGUGGCCAGCAGCCGGAGGACAGUGGCCAGCAGCCGCUGCUUCUCUGCGGCCCAGAAAGCCUGUGUUUUUGCGCUCAGGUUGCUUUUCUCUGGCUGGAGCUUUACCUAGAGGCUUGCGGGGAGCCGGGGCGCCGCGCCUUUGUUCUGCCGGGGAGCUCCGGCCGCCUGCACUUUCUGCCUCGGACCCGCGGGGCAGUCACGCGGCCCCGGGCAGAUCGAGGCCUUUGGCCGGGCCGCCUGGUCCUGCGCUGCGCUGGGGAGCAGUGGAGAGGAAAGCGGGCCCGUCUGGGGCGGACUUUGGCUUCGGGAGCCCGGGGCCCGCGGAGGUGGGCCGGGAGCCUCCGGGAGGGCAGCGCGGGCGCAGGGCCGGGCUCGGGAGGGCAGCGACUGGGCCCCGGACGGCGGCUCCGGGAGCUCCGCUCGCAAUCAGUCAGCUCGCCGGGGAAGGGGACGGCCAGUCUGGGGGAGUCGCCCCUGCCCGGUGGCGUGGCGCAGGUUGGGGGCGGAGACUUGGGACCCGACCUAGGCCCGGUCUCUGCAGGGCCUCCCGGAGCGAGAUCUGCACCUUCCCCCGGUACCCGCUGCGUUCAUCGCCUCUGUUUGUUGAGCAGAGGAGCCGGGGUCCCCGGGCCCGAACCCGCGGAGUCUCACCGCCCCUCGCACCCCCACCUCGCCCUCGGGCCGUGGCCACCUACACCUCCGCAAUCGAUUUUUGCUGCGUGUCAAUACUUACUUCUGUUCAGUGGCAGUUGUGGAAGAGAGAAGACCCUAGAAGCUGAAGUUGCUCAGCAGAAGAGUUGCCCAAAGAACCACCUGAGGCACUGGAAGUUUCAAGCAGCACUUCCAAGACAGCAUGGAAAGGGGGACCCUCACUCUGGUGCCAGGUUAUGCUGAUCACGGCUGUGGGGAGCGGAACAGACACUGUGGACCAAGGUGGCACUGGUUUUCCCAGCUCAGAACCCACCUCCAACCUGUCUGUCCUCCUGGACCUCGGCAGUGCAGGGCGCCUGCCGCGGCACUGCGGCAUCUUAGCUGUUUCAAAGACCAUUGCUGCUGAGAACUUCUGGGUAGGGUGCAAGAUGAACAGGGGUUUUCAGCGAUUCAUCGAGCCUCAAGCCUGCCUUGAGCAGCGUGGAUGGGGAUUCACCAAACAUCCUCACUUAGUCUGGGAAGAAUAUGCUGAUGUGAAUUUAAGACGUGGUCACAGAGUGUUUGUCACUUCAUGAGCUGUCACUAUUCUGACCUGGCUGCACACCGUGCACUGUGUCAUUCCCGUAAAGCAAUUAUAGCCCACCUUUGUCAUUACCCAAGGCUGCUACCCCACUUCCCCCCAGAAAAACAGGAUUGACCCAGAGGUUCCACCAGCUGGCUCCCAAGAGACGAUGAGCACAUCAAAGAAAAAUAAAUAAAAAGAAACAUGAGUCACACACUCAGUGUGCCCUUCAGUGACUUAGAGACAGAGAGCAACAGAAUGGGGAAAGAUACUUACUUUCAAAGGUGUGGGUGGCUGGGGAGACCAGUAUUAUAAAGCGAAUGGCAAGCCCUCAAAUUGUCUCCUUCCCCCCAAACUACCAUGUCAUCUGACACCCUCAAUCUAUUUGUGUCCUGGGUAACAGACUUGGACUAAGAGGUCACCGGCUAGAGGGCUUGGGUGACUGGAAACAAGUUUGACAUGAUAGGAAUCUGGGUGGGGAGCACCAUGGCAGAGGUGUAGAGAGGAGGAGGCCAGAGGCUGCACCAGCUUGAGAACUCCAAACCUCAGCUGGACCCCGAAUUUCC